AUUAUUGAGAAUCGAUUCUGGAUCGGUAGAUAAUGAAUCGCGAUGCAUCUACGCAUCAAGUUUUUCCCACACCCCUAGUUGCUAUGGUCACCAGAGAUCUGGUCCUACCUACACUGUAAAAAAAGGGUUAUUUUACAGGUUGGAGCGUCAUCGGUGGAACGUUCUCUGGGGUUUCUCCGGCGAUUGCACCUGCACGUUGCUUCUCUCGUGGACGUUUCUCUGUGUCUACACGAGAGAGUGAGAGAAGCCAUUGCCCCGUUGAUCCACUGCUGAUCUGUUUACAAGUUAUGUGGAAAAGCCUGUGCUUGAUGGAGAUGUAAAGCAGAUGACCACAGCAUCCCAGGUCCCAAGAGGGGACUGUUUUAGUAAUUUUCUAAUUAGUAAUUACUCAAGGUCAGAUUAUUACAUUAUUUCCUAUGAUAAGAGUACAGAAAACAAUUAUUUAAGAAAAAAAAAUCAUCCAAUCAAUUCACCAAUGUUUUAUUUUUAUAUUCCAUUUGAAAACGAGAUCACAAAUCUGUUCUCGUAUUACAUGUUCAAGCCUUAAAGGGGUAGUUUGGCCAAAAAGGAUAUUAAACCCAUGAUUUACUCACCCUCACCCCCACGGAUUACCCUCAGAAGGCCUUCGUUUAUCCCCCUGGAGCCGGAUGGAUUACUUUUGUGAAGGAUGCAUGCACAUUUUUCGGACUUAGGAGGUGGACUCCAUAACUUGACAUUAUAACCACUGAAAGAUCUAAGACAUUUUCUAAAAUAACUGAAAAUGUGUAAUCGAUUUGCAUCUCGAACGGCUUGAGGGUGAGUAAAUCACAGGAUAAAUUUCAUUUUUAGGUAAACUAACCCUUUGAUAUCAAUCAUAAUAACAGGUCGUUUCAAUGUUUCCUCCAUAAUGAGUUUGGAAAUUUAAAAGAAUGCUUAAACUAAUCCAUUGCACUUUGAAGGUACACUAUGCAAUAGUUAUUCAUGGUUAGGGGUAGUCCUAACCCUAAAUUUAAAUAGUAUUUUAAAACAUUUCUUUCUUUUGUGAUUUCAGAUUAGAAAAACCUGUGCUUGUGGAUCUACAUCAGAUGACCAUGGCAACCCAGGUGUGGAAAUAGGAUACUGUUUAUACUUUUAAAUUUGUGUAGUCUAAGAUGGACGAUUCUUCUGACACCAUAUGAAUGCAUACGGUCGUCUGGCAGAAGCUAGGUAAUUUAGAUUAUAAAGUUAUAAGUAUGGAUAUUUUUCUUACACAAACGCAUCUCUUCGCUUCAGAAGGCCUUUAUUAAAGGAUUAGUUCAUCUCAAAAUGAAAAUUACCUGAUAAUUUACUCACCCAUGCUAUCCAAGAUGUUCAUGUCUUUCUUCAGUGGAAAAGUUUUUUGAGAAACAUUUAUAACAGAUUGUUUCGCUAGAUAAGGCCCUAUUCCUCAGCUGGGAUCUAGGAGAGACAUUUGAAGCACUUUAAAGUCCUUUUAAACCGCAUUGAUUUGGACUUUUAACAUUUGGGUUGCAGUUGAAGUCCAUUGUGUGGAGAAAAAUCCUGAAAUGUUUUCCUAAACCUUAAUUUUCACUGAAGAAAGAAAGACAUGAACAUCUUGGAUAGCAUGGGGUGAGUAAAUUAUCAGGAUUUUUUUUCAUUUUGAGAUGAACUAAUCCUUUAACCCCCCAGAGCCAUGUGAUUGUUUUUAUGAUGGAUAAAUGCACCUGUUCACUUUAGCUAACCCUUUAAAAUUUAUUUUGAACUCUGGACAAAGAAAAUGUUUCUGUAAUUGCUUUAAAAACAUACUCCUUGCUCCAUCUGUCUGGUAAUGCAGGAAGCCCUUUCCUACUUUAUGGGUAUGCACAUCUUUGAGAACCAUGGUAAAAGUAGCUUUGUAAGGUGAUGCUCACAGUUAAAUCAUACCAGUGUCAGUAAAUGUGUAAAAUAAAUUUAGCAGAUAUGUCUUAAAAAAAGUUACCAUUAAAUAGCACACAACUAUUGAUUUUUCUCUCUCUUGCUCGUUGUGAUUAUGAUUAUAGCAUGAAAAGCAUUCAUCAUCGUUUAACAGCUAGUGCAGGUGUGGGGCUUCCCUGUGUUACCAUACAAAGUAGGGAGCUAGGAACUUAGUUUCUAAUAAUACGGAUAAUGAAAACACAUUAUUUAGACCCAUGCAGAGUUCAAAAUAUUGUUAAUUCCUUUAAAUGUCCUUGUUUUUAUUUUUCCAGUAAAACACUUUAUUUGACAAAUGUAUAGAUUAUUAUAUUGCCUCUUAAUGUAGCUAUUUGUCCAUGCUCUGCUUGUAUUACUGUCCAAUUAACAUUAAACAUUGUUUGCAAUUCA